GAUGAACGCUGACAGAAUGCUUAACACAUGCAAGUCGAUUCGAUUUACCUUCGGGUAUUGAGGAUGGCGGACGGGUGAGUAACGCGUAAGGAACUUGCCUCUUGGUCUGGGACAACUGUUGGAAACGACAGCUAAUACCGGAUAUUAUGAGAUUCUCGCAUGGGAAACUUAUGAAAGCUAUAUGCGCCAAGAGAGAGCCUUGCGUUCCAUUAGCUAGUUGGUGGGGUAACGGCCCACCAAGGCGACGAUGGAUAGCCGGCCUGAGAGGGUGAACGGCCACAAGGGGACUGAGACACGGCCCUUACUCCUACGGGAGGCAGCAGUGGGGAAUAUUGGACAAUGGGCCACAAGCCUGAUCCAGCAAUUCUGUGUGCACGAUGAAGGUCUUCGGAUUGUAAAGUGCUUUCAGUUGGGAAGAAGAAAGUGACGGUACCAACAGAAGAAGCGACGGCUAAAUACGUGCCAGCAGCCGCGGUAAUACGUAUGUCGCAAGCGUUAUCCGGAUUUAUUGGGCGUAAAGCGCGUCUAGGCGGAAAAAUAAGUCUGAUGUUAAAAUGCGGGGCUCAACUCCGUAUUGCGUUGGAAACUGUUUUUCUAGAGUACUGGANAGGUGGGCGGAACUACAAGUGUAGAGGUGAAAUUC
rnacentral:rRNA from 1 species